AGGGUUUGAUCCUGGCUCAGAAUCAACGCUGGCGGCGUGCCUCAGACAUGCAAGUCGAACGCGAAAGCCUCCUUCGGGGGGCAAGUAGAGUGGCGCACGGGUGAGUAACACGUAGGUAAUCUACCUUUGGAUUGGGAAUAACAACCGGAAACGGUUGCUAAUACCGAAUAAUGCAGCGGCACCUAAUGGUGACAGUUGUUAAAGCGGGGGAUCGCAAGACCUCGCGUCUGAAGAGGAGCCUGCGGCAGAUUAGCUAGUUGGUAAGGUAACGGCUUACCAAGGCGAUGAUCUGUAGCCGGCCUGAGAGGGCGGUCGGCCACACUGACACUGACAUACGGGUCAGACUCCUACGGGAGGCAGCAGUCGGGAAUUUUGGGCAAUGGGCGAAAGCCUGACCCAGCAACGCCGCGUGAAGGAUGAAAUCCUUCGGGAUGUAAACUUCGCAAGAACGGGAAGAAUAAGUAAGAGUUAACAUCUCUUAUGAUGACGGUACUGUUUGUAAGCUCCGGCUAACUCCGUGCCAGCAGCCGCGGUAAUACGGGGGGAGCAAGCGUUGUUCGGAUUUACUGGGCGUAAAGGGCGCGUAGGCGGCCACCGCAAGUCGACUGUGAAAUCUCCGGGCUUAACCCGGAAAGGUCAGCCGAUACUGCGGGGCUAGAGUGCAGAAGGGGCAACUGGAAUUCUCGGUGUAGCGGUGAAAUGCGUAGAUAUCGAGAGGAACACCUGCGGCGAAGGCGGGUUGCUGGGCUGACACUGACGCUGAUGUGCGAAAGCUAGGGGAGCGAACGGGAUUAGAUACCCCGGUAGUCCUAGCCUUAAACGAUGAAUGCUUGGUGUCUGGGGUUUUAUAGUCCCCGGGUGCCGUCGCUAACGCUUUAAGCAU
rnacentral:rRNA from 1 species